GAGGUUGGGGCUCAGCGGUAGAGUGCUUGCCUAGCAUGUGCAAGGCCCUGGGUUCAAUUCUCAGCACCACA
rnacentral:tRNA from 1 species